rnacentral:lncRNA from 1 species
GCAGGUCCCACUCCAGCCCGGUGGAAGCCUUAGAUUCCAGGCUCCCCUGUUUACAGCAUCCUCAGAUGUCAGUUCGGGAGAUACUGAGGUGGAGCUCAACAGUCAGCUUGGAGCCAAGGAACUCUUGCUGGUUAUGGGGCUACUGCCCAAUGCAGCCUGACGCAACUCCUAAUGACUGGAGGCUAUUACCCAAGGCUAGCCAAGUGCUCUAACAUUGACCUGCAGCCCCAGCCCACCCAGCUCUCUCUGCCUCCACAAAUUCAGACACAGGUCAAGCUCCAUGCCCCAGUUCUUAGCAAAACAACAACCUUCUUGGUCGCAGAUAUAUGCAAAUAGGCUUGUAUCUGUCUAGCUCCCAGCAGGACUCUUUUCUGAGAGCUACUUGGAGUUAUCCUGAUAAAAAGGACGCUUUACGGGGUUGUUAAUAUGUGUGGCUUAUUAUCUCCCAGAACCUGCUUGGCA